GACGAACGCUGGCGGCGUGCUUAACACAUGCAAGUCGUACGGUAAGGCCCUUUCGGGGGUACACGAGUGGCGAACGGGUGAGUAACACGUGAGUAACCUGCCCACAACUUUGGGAUAACGCUAGGAAACUGGUGCUAAUACUGGAUAUGUGCCCCUGCUGCAUGGUGGGGGUUGGAAAGCUCCGGCGGUUGUGGAUGGACUCGCGGCCUAUCAGCUUGUUGGUGGGGUAGUGGCCUACCAAGGCGGCGACGGGUAGCCGGCCUGAGAGGGUGACCGGCCACAUUGGGACUGAGAUACGGCCCAGACUCCUACGGGAGGCAGCAGUGGGGAAUAUUGCACAAUGGGCGCAAGCCGGAUGCAGCAACGCCGCGUGCGGGAGGACGGCCUUCGGGUUGGAAACCGCUUUCAGCAGGGACGAAGCUUUUUGUGACGGUACCUGCAGAAGAAGCACCGGCUAACUACGUG
rnacentral:rRNA from 1 species